rnacentral:misc_RNA from 1 species
UAUCUAGAGUCAUAGCUAUCAAUUCUCCAGAGACAGAAAGCAAAGCCAAGCUGUUAACGUUUGUUUCGAUAUUAAUUUUUCCAUAAAGCGAUGCCUGGAGAAUCUUGGCAUAAAUCUUUCACAGUUAUACACACAAAAGAUUUCUUCUAUUCAUAUAUACACACGCACAUGGUUUCUUUGCUUAUAUAAUAAUUCAUCCCAUUACAGCACAAUGGUAAUAUCCAUUGCCCAAAUUCUGCUUCUCUCUCUUUUUCUCUCUCUCUACUGUAUCCCAUUUCCUUGAAACUCUUUUUUUUAUUCUGUAUAUAUACCCUACUCAUGCAACAUCUCCUUCCACAAGUUACAUCUUCAUUUUUCCACCUCUCUCUCUCUCAGAAACCACUGUUAUUUUUUUUUUUUUCGACUUCAAUUCGUCUAUCUAAGAUGGAUGAGCUAGAUUAUCAAAUAAAACCAACCUCUACCACGACGCGCUUAAAACUCUUUGGCUUCAGCGUCUCUGAAGAUGAUGAACAUACAGCUGACUCCAUCAAGACUUCUUCUUCUACUUCCCUAGACGCAGCGGCAACUGCUGCUGCUGCUGUUGCUUCUUCUUCUUCAGGUGAAAGUAGAAAGUACGAGUGUCAAUACUGCUGCAGGGAAUUCGCCAAUUCACAAGCACUCGGUGGCCACCAGAACGCACAUAAGAAAGAAAGACAGCAACUCAAGAGAGCCCAAAUGCAAGCUACCCGAAACGCAGCCGCAGCUGCAGUAUCCUUCGGUAGAAACCCCAUGAUCUCAGCCUUUGCCCCACCGCCUCAUCUCUUGGCUCCUGCUGGUCCGGUUGUAGUCCCGGCUGCAGCUCCUUCGUGGGUUUACUUGCCAAGGCCGGCGGCGCCUUUCCACGUCUCACAUGGAUGCGUGUUUCCCAGUGGAGGAGGUGGUGGUGGGGGCGGGAGUGGGUUUGGUGGUGGGAGGGGUGUUGGUGGAUUGCAGUAUAGUGGCGGGGCAGGUGAUAUGAGUUUAUCGAAUGGGCUGCAACAAGUGCAGAGUAGGGUCCAUAAUGGGCGGGUAGAUGGACCGUUCUCGAAAGUGGACGGUGGACCUACCUUUGAUGAAGCAUUGGGAUUGGACUUGCAUCUUAGUCUUGCUCCGGCCGAGCCAUGACUUUGUUCUCGGACGGUCACCUUCUCUUCUGUACAUUUUUCACAUUUUAUUUAUUUAUUUUUCCUUCUCCUUCUUCUUUUGAUGAUGGAAGUGAUGAUUUGUUUUGACCAUCUCACAAUUUUUCUUCUUUUUUUCUCUUUAAUAUUUAUCCUUUUUCUAACUAGCUUUCACAUUUGAUAACUAAAUUUUUGAUAGUCUAACAUAAAGAGAUUCUAC